GAUGAACGCUGGCGGCGUGCCUAAUACAUGCCAGUCGAGCGAGCAGACGAGGAGCUUGCUCCUCUGACGUUAGCGGCGGACGGGUGAGUAACACGUGGAUAACCUACCUAUAAGACUGGGAUAACUUCGGGAAACCGGAGCUAAUACCGGAUAAUAUAUUGAACCGCAUGGUUCAAUAGUGAAAGACGGUUUUGCUGUCACUUAUAGAUGGAUCCGCGCCGCAUUAGCUAGUUGGUAAGGUAACGGCUUACCAAGGCAACGAUGCGUAGCCGACCUGAGAGGGUGAUCGGCCACACUGGAAGUGAGACACGGUCCAGACUCCUACGGGAGGCAGCAGUAGGGAAUCUUCCGCAAUGGGCGAAAGCAUGACGGAGCAACGCCGCGUGAGUGAUGAAGGUCUUCGGAUCGUAAAACUCUGUUAUUAGGGAAGAACAAAUGUGUAAGUAACUAUGCACGUCUUGACGGUACCUAAUCAGAAAGCCACGGCUAACUACGUG
rnacentral:rRNA from 1 species